UGCAGCUGCCGUUGAAAUUCGCUGUGGCCGCUGCCUCUUCCCGCUAUAACCCCAGACCUCCAGUCAUUGGGCAGCUCCUCGGAGGCAAGAAGUCAACACCAUGGCAACCCGACAAGCCUAUCAAAUCGCCGGCUGGCGUGACAGCAGCAACGCUGCAGGCAGGAGUGGGCUGGGCAGACGAGCAGAGUGGCCACUAUGCUCAGAGCUCAAGUUUAUUGAAGUUGUAUAAGGCAGAAAAAGAAAUUCACUAAAUAAUGAAGUCAAUUUAUCAUGUUGAGGAAAUCUUGUAUGAAUCCUAAAAUCUACCCUUAAGUCCACUCCACAUAAACACAAUUCACUAAAUAAACAGUUUUAUAUCGAUCUCAUAAUUUUUAUGAAGAGGCUCUUAAAGUUGUUUCCAGCUCUUGUAAGGAAGAUUCCUCCUUUUUUAGCUAAUGAGUAGGACAUUGAAAUUGAACAUACUUAAAAGCAACAUUCAAAACAAUAAUGCAACAAUGCCUGGCUCAUUUUCAUCAUAGUGGAUUCUAUCUCCAGUAGAGUUUCUUCCUGACCUUACCUGAUGAAAAAUGAUACCACCAGAGUCAUAUGCAAAAUGGAACUCAUCUUUUUGGCCUACUGAUGGGAAAUAAAAUAAUACAUUUCAUUUUUAACUUCAGCAAAAUAAAAAGCUGUGAUUUCAAGAACAGAUAGAUUG